rnacentral:rRNA from 1 species
UCGGGAAUUUUGGGCAAUGGGCGAAAGCCUGACCCAGCAACGCCGCGUGAGGGAUGAAGUAUUUCGGUAUGUAAACCUCGAAAGAAUGGGAAGAAUAAAUGACGGUACCAUUUAUAAGCUCCGGCUAACUACGUGCCAGCAGCCGCGGUAAUACGUAGGGAGCAAGCGUUGUUCGGAUUUACUGGGCGUAAAGGGCGCGUAGGCGGCGCGGUAAGUCACUCGUGAAAUCUCUGAGCUUAACUCAGAACGGCCAAGUGAUACUGCUGUGCUAGAGUGCGGAAGAGGCAACCGGAAUUCUUGGUGUAGCGGUGAAAUGCGUAGAUAUCAAGAGGAACACCUGAGGCGAAGGCGGGUUGCUGGGCCGACACUGACGCUGAUGCGCGAAAGCCAGGGGAGCAAACG